AGACGUUCCUGUCGCCAGCCGCCUGCACUCCGCAUCGGCCAGACUGAUUUCAGAUACCUCUCUCAUCUCACAAGAAUGGAAUCAGCUGUGGCAAGCAGUUCGAGAAAAAGCUGAUCACAGACCUGAGUUCUCAAACCAUUUAAUCAAGGUUAUUGGCCACCUGAUAAUUUUACCAGCCUUGUUUAUCAAUCAAAGCCUUCACCAAUCUCCUGUUUAACAACUAAGGUUAUAAAUUCCUUUUU